UCCCAGAUGGCUCAAACAGUAAAGUGUCUGCCUGCAGUGCGGGAGACCUGGGUUCAAUCCCUGGCUUGGGAA
rnacentral:tRNA from 1 species